UGGCCGCUGAAGCAAUGACUCCUAUUGCAGA
rnacentral:piRNA from 1 species